UUCCCCACCAAUGCCCAAUCACAGGAU
rnacentral:piRNA from 1 species